rnacentral:rRNA from 1 species
CGUACACUCCUGCGGGAGGCAGCAGUGGGGAAUAUUGGACAAUGGGCGCAAGCCUGAUCCAGCCAUGCCGCGUGAGUGAUGAAGGCCCUAGGGUUGUAAAGCUCUUUCACCGGUGAAGAUAAUGACGGUAACCGGAGAAGAAGCCCCGGCUAACUUCGUGCCAGCAGCCGCGGUAAUACGAAGGGGGCUAGCGUUGUUCGGAUUUACUGGGCGUAAAGCGCACGUAGGCGGACUAUUAAGUCAGGGGUGAAAUCCCGGGGCUCAACCCCGGAACUGCCUUUGAUACUGGUAGUCUUGAGUUCGAGAGAGGUGAGUGGAAUUCCGAGUGUAGAGGUGAAAUUCGUAAAUAUUCGGAGGAACACCAGUGGCGAAGGCGGCUCACUGGCUCGAUACUGACGCUGAGGUGCGAAAGCGUGGGGAGCAAACAGGAUUAGAAACCCCAGUAGUCCCAUGAU